ensembl:lncRNA
CUAAUUGCAAAUCCGCUCCUUGCUUUUCUAAAAUGUCAAAGAAUUUAUAUAUUUUCAGGUCACUGCCAUGUCAGUCCAAUACCAAUGUCAGGUUGGGAGCAGCAAUGCAAAAUUUGUUUUCAUUACAAAAUUCAUGCUUCAACAGCUUUUCCUUUGGAAACAAAAAUAAAAGUGUCAGCGUUUGAGAUGGCUACAUCUGGUGCGUUAGCCUGCGUUAAUGGCUUUCGUCUUGGCUUCCCCAGUGUUGUUAGUUGUCCUGUGAAAAUACAGAGCUAGCUGACAAACCUUUCUCCUUUUCCCGUCUUUCCCUUGGGUUUGGGGCUGAGCGCUCCCCAACAGUGCCCUCUGUGGUUGGAGAAAGCAAACAGCCAGGGAGGAAAGCACAAAAAAAAAGGGGGGGGAGGAAGGGGAAAUGUGAGCGCAAACUGAUCCAGAUUGUCCCUUCGGGAUGGGCACUACAAGCACAGAGUGGAGUUCUCCUAAGGGGGAAAAAGGUGGCCAGGCGCAGCCAGGAUGGGAGACGUGCAUCCUUUUGCUCCAGCACGACGUCGGUAACUGGUGCUUGAAACAAGACUUCAUUGCUGAGCUACAGGGAUUAAGGGAAGGGAUUUUAUUUGCCUGCUGCAGUUAGAUGCAGCGUCCUCAAGGACCCCAGAAUUUGCAUGGAAACAUGGAGGAGAGGAGAGAGGAAAUAACCUUUACAGAAAGAAAAUCAGUCAAAUCAUCUUUAUCAUUCAAACAAAAGAUGACAGGAAAUGAACAGGUGACUUCAAGGAUGAAAAAAAUACUCUUCUGCCAAUUCAAGAAAAGAUAAUGGAUGAGGUGUUACAGAACCUGUAGGUGAAUUUGAGUUUGCAUUAUAACCAUCUUUACCAAAGAUCUUUAUCAUGCAACAAACUACAUUUUGAGAACAAUGCCUGGAAUAAAGAGGGGAAGAAAAUGUUUAAUACUGCUACUUCCUCUAACUAAGAUCAUAGAAUCAUCAAAUCAUAAAAGGUUGGAAAAGACCUCUAAGAUCAGCCAUCAGCACCAUGCCCACUUUGGAGGAUGCCAAAGCAGACACAGAACUGAACAGCAGUCUCAGAUUGUGAUACAUCAUGCUUUUAGAAUUGUUAUUCUCUCCUGAUUCACCUUGUUGCAACUGUAACGAUGCCUGUAGUCCCAGAAGUGGGAGCAAGAAGAGAUCAUUACAACUGGGGCAUUUAUUUCCUCUCUGCUAUCAAAGAGAUGAGCCUCUGGACAGCAAAUUUAGUGGUAUUUUACUGGAUACAGAUGCAGAGCACUGCACAUCUCUUCUUCCUGCAAUAUAACAGCAGUGGAGAGUUCAGCUGAGAGAACAAACUUUGAGAAGAUAUCUCACUCCUGUAGGACAGUGAAAUAGUUGUCCAAAUCACAAUGUGGGACUCAGAGCCAUGGCCUAGAACAAGAGAAGGGUAUAUACCUUGUCUUUCUUAUUCUUACAAGGAAAGAUCAAGAUACAUCCAUAUGUGACUUUUGACAAUUCAAGAAAGAAAACUUCAAAUGCUCAGGUGUUUGAUCUUUAUUUUUUUAUAACCUAUCAAAACCACAGGAUCUGUAAGCAUUCCUUCAGCCCUAAAUGGUUUCUUUCUCUUUUCCAUUUUUCAUAUAGAAUCAUAGAAUCAUAGAAUGGCCUGGGUUGAAAAGGACCACAGUGAUCAUUGAGUUUCAACCCCCCUGCUAUGUGCAGGGUUGCCAGCCACUAGACCAGGCUGCCCAGAGAAUUUUUUUAUUCCAGUAAAGGAGGAGGCCUUUCUUUUGUUGAGAAACCAAAUGUAAAAGAGUAGAAGAUUUUUACAAGAAGCAAACUUGUAAAAAUGGCAUCCUGGGGUUCCCCAUUUGUUACAUUGCAAUUGUUUCUAGAUCAAACCUGUUCAGUUCAGCACUGAAAGGAUGGGUUUGCUGCUGUCCAUCACUGAGAGCUCUACUAAAGUAAAGCCUGAUACUUUCUGGGUCAUACUCUCUAAAAAUAAGUCACAAUGGGAAUGCUAAAAAAAACUAACUUACAACAUGUGAAUCAGAACUCCAGUUGCCUUCUACUUCUGCAGGGCUAAGAAAAACCCCUCAAGUACAGCAAUAGGUUAUUUAAAGACCGAAGUAAAUAGAUCUGACUGCAAGCAGACACAGGAAACAGAUCAAUGUCUCAUGAUGAUGAAAUCUAUGUAGUAAGUUUUGACAAGAGCCACAUGCUGGGGCUCAUCCAACAGGGAUCUUUCCACCAGGUAUUUGUUGAAACCUAUAAAGAUGCAGAUUAGCUUCAGUUGAUGCAGGGAAGUGAUUUUUUUUUCAUACAUCCUAUAAACUUUUAUAUUUUUGGCGGGGAGACUGAAAGUGCAUGAAUGCAUAGUAUUUUUUGCAGGCAGACAUAGCUUUAUUCCAAUCCUACCUCAGACUCUCAACCUUUUAUCUCUUAGACUUACUGCCAUGCCAGCUGUGGUUACAUGACUUCCAGUUUGCUUGGAUCAGGGCAGAGACAGGCUAUGUGUGCUUGUCAAACACAAAUACGUGCUAGAACCUGCAGCUAGAGUCCAGGAAAAGGUCUUUGACAUAACAAACAUACCGUGUAGUCCAAAACCUCCACAGCUCCAAGAUGUACUGCUGCCAUGACCUCAGAUUGUUGCUAUGAUGCUUUUUAUAGGGAUUUGAUGACAUCAGCUAGCACUAAUGUGAUAUUUUCCUAAGAGCUGUAGUAGAGGUAGAUGUGUAAAGUCAAAGCUUCUCUCUCAUAGCACUGGACCCACCUGGUGAGUACAAGGCUCCCUCAGGGCAAUGCCAUUUGUACUUUGAUCUGUGUUCAUGAGCACCAGGGCACACAGGAGCCCAGGGAGAAGGGCUGCCCUGGUUUCUUUCUAUUCUUCUUUGGUGUCAGCAUGCGCACCAUGUUGCUGCUCCUCACAAAAACUCAUCAGCUGGAAACAUGUCUAGAAAUAAAGCAGAGCUCUGAAAGCAACACUACUGCAUGCAGGACUGAGCAGCAGCUCCCAGUUUCUGCAAGUUUUUGGUUCUACUCUGUCAACCACCUUAGAACCAAAUUUGUAAAGAAAUGUAGAGGAAAUGAGAAAUUAAAAGGCCAAAUCUGGAAAAAAAAAAAGUCUUCCACUUCUGUUACUCAAACAUUGGAGAGAAGCCAAAAGGCAGAUACAGUAAUAAUACAACUUUUGGAAAAUGUGGAAUAAUAAUAGAAGCUAGAUUUAUUUAGAUCUCCAAUGGUGGAGACUACCUAGACCACAGAGCAGAAGGGAUUAAAAAAAAAACACACACUCUGAUAUUUGAGAUUUUUUUUUAACGUAUCAGACAAAACCAUUGUGAGAUUGAGAAUGGAAGCUGAAGCCACACAAAGUCAGACUGGAAGAAAGGUGACAACUUUACCUUGAUAACAGCCCAUCACUGCAGGAAUAUCUCAUGUAUGGUUUCCCCAACAGUUAAUCUUUUAAUUUUUUUAAAAUUUGAUUUCUUUAUAAAAGAUAGGCUUUUAUUUACUAUUUUAGUCUGGCCUGUACUAUGCAGGAAGCCAGAUUAAAUCAUCAUAAUAUUCCCUUCUAGCCUUAAUCUACAUAUGAUUAAAACAUAUUAUGUAGUUACCUGUCCAUAUAGAGAUGACCAUCUCCUCCCCACUCAAGUUGAUAUUUUCAAGCCACCAAAUGAAACUAGCCAAGACAAAGUGUGCUUGAUGAAACGGUGCUGCUGUGUGACAUCUGUGUCUGUGGGGAUGUCAGUGAGUAAAUCUUGAGGCUGAAAUCCUAAAGCACAAAAGAUACACAGCCAGCGUGGUGUCCCACAGGUGGGUGCAGGUGUGCCACACUCUGGAGGGGACAACCAACCCUUCAGGCCCUUCCUGUAUUCCACCAUCCUCUGUGAAUAUUGGAGAUGAAAUUUUUGUACACUUUCGCAGUAGCAAUCAUGUGAACCUGAGCUCAUUUUCACAAACAAAGCAUGCCCAAUCAACAGUCUCAUUUUUUUUUUCCUGCUUUAUGGAUGUUGAAGCAACAAUUUUGUGCAAAAGGUACAGGUGGGUUUUACGCUCCUGCUGGGCCCCAUGGUAGAGACUCACACAACAAAGGCUUGCAGGUGUUUCCUAUAUCUUUGUGGUUAUUUCUUUCAAACAGCAUCUGUUGAAAUGCAUCUUGCCUCCUGCUUAAAAAAGCCCAAUGCUUGGCAAUGCAGGGUGCUUGCCUUAGCUUUAACUGCCCACCCACACUGAACAUUUUAUGUUAUUUAGAUCGACCAGGGGCACAAUGAGAGCCUUUGACCAGCAAGACUUCCCUUCAGAGUGGGAGGCUCUGGAGGGGGAAAGGUGACCCAGAGAUGUGGUAACAUUUUUCACCUCCACUUCUCUUUCCAGUCGGGCAGCCCCGUCAUAGUUGGCACUGACCGCACUACCACCUGCUGCGUCCCAGCAGAAAUCCACACAAAACCUGGCUUGUCUUUGGGUAAUUGCACUUGUAAAGUAGAAGCAGCUCAUUUAAGCAUUACACACGGCAUCUUAUUAAGCACCUCGUGAUACAUAAAAUUAAGACAACUGAAAGAAAAUUUCCGAAAACCCUUCUAUACGGUUUGUGACCACAGCUGAUUUGUAUCUGGUGAGGUUUCCUGGGUGAUGAGUCCAUAAUUCCCAUCACCUUUUGGAAAAAGUCUCAUUUAACUUUAUUUUGCUUCAAUAAUAACUACUAAUGUUGUGUUAACCAAUCAAAAGAGAACAAGUGGUCAAAGCAAGACCUAGAGAAACAGACCCAGAACACAUCUAACCUGAAGUAGAUGUAGGUUGAACAUGAUUUGGUUCUGAAUUCUCAGCAUGAGCUAUAAGUAAUUAUAACUAAAUCCCCUGGGCAAACUGAUCUACGUGUGGUGGCCCCAUUCAAUGCAGGGGAGUUGGACUAAAUGGCCCUUGGAGGUCCCUUCCAACUCUAAGGAGUCUAUGAUUCCAUGAUUAUGAUUCUAAUUCAGGCAUGCAAAGUGGUCUGGGAGGGAACUGGAUGUCAGGUGGUAGCACUGGGCAGUACAAUCUACCUCGAUCUGUGAAUUUCAUUGUAGGAAGAGCAUUAUGUUGUUUUGGUGUUUGUUUGUUUUCCUUAUUUUUUUUUUUAAUUUCUUUAUAGUUUCUUUUUCUUUAAGAUAUGAUUUAGAAACCACUGGGAGUUACUUGGAUGCUGCCUUCCAAAUUCAGUGCUUUUAUUUUUAAUAUUGUAGUGGAAAUGCUAAGUCACAGCUUGAAGCAGUGAUUGAGCACCUGGUGGAAGGCAGGGCCAACUCAGGUGAGCUCAGGUGCAUGCAAUGCAGCUGAGUGAUCAGAAGGACUGGAGCCAGGAUCCACCCCUUCCCAGCCCUCAUUUAAGGGUUGGCAGUGGAGGCAAGGAUAUCUUCCUAGAGUUUUCUACCUACCUGAGUCUUUCCAAAGAGUCUGGACAGAAGAGAUAGUAGAAAAUACGUCCAUUUCAUCAGACUGGAUGUGUUCAAAGGUGAUAACAGAAGCUGAAUGAACUUGGCUGCCACUGUCCCCGCCUACAGCCAAAGACUGAAUUUGGUGAUGGCCCUCCUUGAGUAGAGCCAAGUGGUGCUCCAUAGCCAAGACUGUCAGCCCAAAAGAGUUGCUGAUCAGCCUGGUCUCAUGUUCCAAGAAUGAAACCCUGGCAUGGAAGUGGCAUAUCUGCCAGUUAAUGUCAACAUUUGAUGUGCAGUCAGAGAGCAAACAAGGUUUCAUAUUGUGGUAAAAAGGGAAAUACUGUUUGCUUUAAUUCUAGUUUCUUUGUGUCAGAUGUAUUAAGAGUCUCAUAAAAUAGUGAAAGAAUUUCAUUCUUACUUACAAUUAUAAGAAGCAUAUAUAUAUACACACACAUAUACAUACACACACAAUGUACCUACUUCUACAAGUACAAACAAAAUGUAAAAUCUAGCUAGUAAUGAAUAGCUUGAAACAUCCUUUUCAGAAAACAUUAUAAUACAAGACUCCAGUGACUUUAUCUAACGCUCAGUUACUAAGAAGGGGAAGAGAACACUUAACUGUGAAUGAGCUUCCCUAUAGCAAAAGGAAAGUGCUCCCAGACUGAAAAAUAGGCAUGGACAGACUAAGAUAUCAUGUAGAGUGGGUACAGCUUGCUGUCCAGCUCUCACCACCUAUGUGUAUAUGACAAUUAAUCCAUGUGCUUUAUUGUCCUCCAGUCUUCUGGAUGAGAGAUCACAGGAGAUCACGUUUCAAACGGUGAUGUCCCAAGUGUGGGAAGAACAGAGCAAUGGGACUCUCACUGCUGUAGGAGGCAGUGCUCAGCACCACAGGAGAUAGUCCUGAGCUCCCAAGGACAAUAAUUAAUGACAACCAGCACUGGCACAGCACUUCUGUUGAGUCUCAGAGCAGAAACACCUGCAGCAUAUCCCACCCUGGCAGGGAAAUGGAGCUGGUGACCUAACAAUCUUUCCCACCUCUAACUUCUGGGGCUUUAUGAAUCGUCAGUCACACCUAGGUGUGAUAUCGCUAUAAAAUCCCAGUCACGUAAGAGAGCUGGCAGGAAGUUCUGGCUGUGCAACUCUGUGGUUUUAUGCUUAGCUAUGUUCUAAAUACUGAAAGAAUGAAGUAGACUUUCAAGCAUCAGCGUUGACAGUUGCUUUCAGAGAUAUUCAAACAAACAAAAUCCAGUCACCUAGACAGCAAAACCAGCUGCAGCUUGGGCUACAGCACAAACGUGACUUUUUGUUUUAAAAAGAAAGCCAUCACUAUCUAAAUGCCACCUGUGGUGUGGUGUGACUAAUACUGCUCUUCUUCAAGAGGUUGGCAAGGGCCUCUUUAUAGACUCAUAAAACCAUAGAAGCAUUUGGGUUGGAAAAGACCUUCAAGAUCAUUGAAGUCCAACCAUCAAACUCACCUACCAAGUGCCACCACCAAACCAUGUCCCUUAGUGCUGCAGAACAUCCCCAGAGCAAACAUGAGCACUGUGCCCAGCGCCAGCUCUGUACUUCACACAGAGGGUGGUGACGCACUGAACAGGUUGCCCAAGGAGGCUGUGGAUGCCCCAUCCCUGGAGGCAUUCAAGGCCAGGCUGGAUGUGGCUCUGGGCAGCCUGGUCUGCUGGUUGGCGACCCUGCACACAGCAGGGGGUUGAAACUAGAUGAUCACUGUUGUCUUUUUCAACCCAGGCCAUUCUAUGAUCCUAUGAUUCUAUGAUUGACUAUGGACUAUGGGUGACAUCUACCUGUCAUUGCUGCCAUCUUAACACUAGGGCAGAGCUCAGUACAUUUCUCUACAUGGUGUGUUGCAGUAGGAAAGUUUCUUUCCUUCUCCUCCUCCAAAGUCCUGCAACGGGAAAAGAAAACAUGGGAAACCGUGUCUUCAAAUCAUACACCCAUACUUCAUCUCAUUGUAUAAUCAUCACAAAAAUCUGGUGGUGAGCUGUACUGUAUCUGUGUUUUGUCUGGAGGUUGGAAGUGGUUUUAACGAUUUAAAUCAUGGUAAAGAAAAGGGCCACUCAAAACACAGAGCUGGAAAGCAGAACCGCUUCGGUGUCUGCAGUAUUCUAAACUAGAUUUUGGUCCAGGUCCUGCUCCACUGUGUCCUCGUGUUGGGAAAGUAUAUUCAGAGCUGACAUGGCUUUCCCAGGUGUUUUCUACUGGGACAAAGUGCAGAGAAUGCAGUUAAUCACGAGUGCAUUCAAGUGUCCUAAGGUCUUUGGGUGAAAGCUGUUAGAGACAUUGAAAAAGUGUUUAAUAAUCACAGCCCCAUGUCCUCAGCACAGGCUUUUUGGGUUCACGAAAGUUCAAACACCUUUUAAGAAAUUUAGGCCAAAAUGUAAGCAGGCCAGAGCCAUGCAGCAGUUCCAAUGGCAACGGGGACAGCGCUUUGUUGAACCAUUUUCAGGAUCAUGACUACUGGGUAAGAUGCAUGCUGAGUGGUGCUGCUUUUAUAAACCACAGCAGGCACAAAGGUACUGUGUGCAGUUUCCUAUAGUUGACAUAAAGAUAUAUACAUUUUUCUUUUCAACAGUCUCACUUCUACACAGUUUCAAUUAGAAGUGCAUAUAACAACAAUCCCCAAGAAGAUUCAACAUUGGGUCUUUCAACUGACUGUCAACACAUCCUGUUCUUCCUCAUUUGCAAUACUUGUCCCUAAAAACAAACUGGACACAAAAGCUUAAGUCUAUACUUAUGAAAUGCUUUUGGAUUAUGUAAAAACAUUGCAGAGGAUUUUAUUGCCUCUUGUUGUACUGGCUAAGAGUUACCCAAACCAUCCACAGAUGGAAGAAGAAGGGGUUAUGUGCAACUUCUGGAGUAGCUAGAAGGAAGUGGUGUUCUAAACUAUGGUUAUUUAACCAAAGGAGCUCAAAAUGAGUGGGAAAUACUUGUGUUCCACACAGCAUUAUUGUACACUACGUAUCAAAUACAACCAAUAGAGAAAGACAAAUAACCUGGGAAUGGCAAACGCUUCCAGUGAAUUACAAAUAUGUUUUAGAGUGACCUGAAUCGCAUUUCAAAGCGCUCAGAAUAUUAUCCCACUAAUUCAAGUGUUUACCGUGGAUCCAGUCUCACUGCCUCCAUUCAUGUGAACAGUUCCAUCCAUAGCAAGAAGACUGCAGAGGUAAAGGCCAUUCCUGAGUACCCAUUUUCAGAACCCGCUGUUCUUUCCUUACAUGCUUUAAAAUUAAAAUGUUACAUUUACAGUCAUAUUUUCUAUCGCAAAGAGUUUUUCAAACAGUCUACAUCUCCUACCUGGUUAAUCUUUACAGAUAAGAUCCAUCAUAAACACAGACAUUACUUUUUGGCAAACAUUUGGAUUUUUUUCCAACAGUUUUUCUUUGGGUCAGAAAACAAAAUCAUUAUUUUAAUGUCAACGUGUAAACAAUAAAAGUCUUCAAACUAUACCAUCACAUUUUUUAAUACAAAGGAUCACAAUACCUCUUCAAAGGCUUUCUUAAUCAAUGGCCAUAAAGCUUAACGUCUCGUAGGUAUUAAUAUUUCUGCCAUGUUUUGCAUACAUACAUACGUGCCAUUCCUAAGGCCACAAAAGAAGUCAGCGCCAACCAGCGAAAAAGCUCUGAAUUUCUACCUUCCAUAUUUCUACCAACAAAUAGAUACUGAUAUCUGUAUAUAAAUCUGUAAAGAUAAAUUCUAAAAGAAGAAAGAAAGGAAGAGGAGGAAGGAGAGAAAACAACCCCAGGGAUUUACCUACAGAGCUCAAAUGACUUCCAGGCAUCCAGCGUCAAUAAUAUACACAUACUUAUACAGGUACCAACAUGAGAUGUGAUUAUUCAGUAUUCAGAGUUCUUAGCUUUGGUCAGUCAAACAGUUAAACAAGUUCUGAAAUUGGAGUGUGUGUGAGGAGCCCUAGUGAAACAUCAGAUGACUGCGUGCCAACUACUUAAGGCUCUACAUACCGCUACUGCAGAGCGUGCUUUUGCUGCUAGUCAGCUAUUUUCAGGAUUUGAAGUUAAAACACACAUUGAGCACAGUUUCAGUUCUUUGUUACUCCACUGCAGCAUGGGAGGUGAAAAAAACCUCAAAAUUCUCUACUGCUAUCCCCAGUGCAGAUCAGACAGUGAUGUCCAUGGCCAAGACUGAAACUCAUAGCAGGUAACCCAUGAGAAGUACGUGUUUACAGCCUCUAAAACCCCAAACUGCAAUGGCAAAGGCAACCAAAGUUCUUAGGAAAGUUCCUGGAGUUUAGACACAGACUAGACUGCAGAAGCUCCAUCCUGCACGAAAACUCAGCUACUCUUUUAUCCCACCCUACUCAAUGGACACAUCAAACAGGCAGCAGCAGAGCACCCUCCAGGUAAGACCCCCUGUGAAAUACUGCAAAGCAAGAAUUCCUGUCUUCUGUCUUCACCAAGGGUCCAGCCAACUACUUGCUUUACCUUCCAGAAAUACUUAUUAUUAGAUGGAAUAGGUCCAUUAGAAGAGGUCGGAUAAAUCCUCUCCCAAAAAAGAGCCGUCCAGUGACAAAGCACUGCCUCCAAAGACAGAUGGCGGAGGGCCACAUCUUCUCACAGAAACAGAGGAGUGUCAAAGGGCCACUGUUCUUACAUUAUCUCAUGAUUUCAAAUAACCAGAGUCAAGUGCCAUAACAUGCCAGGACCAAAGCUUUUCCUCAUAGGGUCAGAGGAGCAGGAUGCCCCGGAGGCUGUGCUGUCUCCACUCUGAGAGUUUCCAACACCAGACCGCACAAAACGCAGCUGCAGCCUCCAAAUGACCAUUGUAAUGAAAUAUUGUAUUUUCAAAUGCAUAUUUUAUAGAAGCAGGAAAUGUUUUUCACCUUCGUUCUUUCCACUAGCUCAGGAACAUGCUUUUUCCCUCUUAACAAAAGCUUUUAGCAGUUGAGAUGUAUAAUCUGCGUGGAGGAGUUUAUGGCUGCACAAGGCAUAAUGCCUGGAUGUCAACUGAGACUCAAAAAGCAAUGUCUUUUCAGCUGCACUAGAAAAUGUACUUGAUACAGACAGUGAACAUAUUUAAUGCAGACAGAAAAUUAUACUGUGGGAGACCAUGAGAAGCAAGCCCCUUACUCUGUUGCCCUUGGACAAUCAACCUACAAUCAGCCCUGUUCUUAGCAUGUCUAUGUCUUUUUUUAAGAAAGCCUUGUCUGGUGUAGGUUACAAAAUCUGCCUUGGCAUUUUUUUUACUUCAGGAUGCCAAAUGACAAAGAUAUUAUCACACAUCAUGUUGGUUUGGCUCUGAGAUUUGAUAUGUGUCUUGUUCUUAGUCUAGUUUUUUCUUCUUUGUCACACUUACGCUAUCCAACUGGAGACUGCACACCAACCUCAGUAGACGUGUCUACAUGCUGACUCACUAAGUCACAUAUAUUUGGAAAUGUAUUAGCUGGCAGCUAAGGAGUUUUUCAUCUAAGCAUUGAAUCUCUUGAUCAGUAGGAGCUGAACAUUCUCCUAGCAGGAGAUAAUUAGCAUGGACAAGUAGGGGCAGGCUAUCAGCUACAGACACUAAAAUGCGUAUUACUUGUUGAAGCACGAGUUACUCUUGCUCUUGGAUUGCAUUAUCUCAUACAUUCCUCUCUUGAAAGCUUCCUUUUAUUAAGUAUAUACCAUGUAUGCCUUAAAGCUAGCACUCCCUUUUUGGCUUGAUCCAGUUUGGACUCUGGAUAAACCACUUCAGAGAAAACUUCUGGAGAUGAUGAGAAUAGUAUUGGCUAAUGCCUUGUGCUCCCGACCUUCACUUCAUAUCCCUGUGCUGGCUCAAACUUUGUUGAUCUGGUUACAGGAUCACAAGCAGAUGUUGCCAAAGUCUUUUCUGAUCUACUGAGUCAGCAACUCAAGGUGUAAUAGGGUUUAAGCCUGAGUCUCCAUCCCAACUGCUGAAGGAAAUGGGGGGAGAAAGCGAAAGAGGCCAGAAAGGGGAACUUCAGUUAGAAACGACAAGAAAAUAGGAAUUCUGAAAAACUAUUAAGAUCAGAAAAACAAAUGUUAUCUGUGGAUUCCCACCCUCCCCCCACAAAAAAAUAUGCAGCCGGGAAGCAAAAACUUCAGGCCAUGUACUCACGCGGUGGUGAGGUGCUCACAGGAAGGUGGGACUGCUGGGCUGCCCAUUUGGUGUCCUCACCUGGCUGAGUUGCAGUCCUAAACAAAAGUCUCAGUCAGAAUCAGCUGCACUGCUAUGGGAAAAAAAAAAAAUCAGUCCAAAGAAACUGCAUUUUCUUAUCAAAAUGAUAUAUUUUAUUCAGCUUUCACCUGCUGACCUGCCCUCUCCAGCUGAGGGUUGCAGAAGAGAAGACUCUCCCUGGACCAUGAGAUCCAACAAACACCUCUCAACAGAAAUACAGGCUUGUGGACUGAUCGGAAAGUGACAAAGUAUUUCUAGUACAUAACGUAAAAGGUAUUAACUUGUAUUGAAACAUGAAUUGAGCUUCCAUUUUAACCACUGAUAGCCAUUAGAAAGAUAACGGGUCAUCUUAUUCAUUACGUCUAGAAAGACCCUCAGAAUGUGCUGCUAAGGACAGGUUGGAGUGAUUGCUUUCUAUCAAUUAGCAGCAUGGAACAUGUUCUAAAUGUAGCCUAGUCUAGACUUUCCUGCUUUGGGUAGAUAACACAGCUGAUAUCACACAAGACUGUUUGAUGAGAGUCUUUACAGAAAGAAUCACUGCUGUGGGAAGUUCAGAUAUGAUUUUCAGCUGCUGAAAUACGAUCAGAAUGAAAAUCUCAGCUCAGCUCUCAGAUCAACACGGGUGAAACAAUGCCUUCCUGGAGGCACAUCUACGUGGGGAGGAACCAGCAACCCUUCGGCAAAAUUCAAAUGCAGUUCUUCAGUGGGGAGCUUUCAUUCCCCACUGUGCCUGUGGCACAUGGGCAGUGAGCCAGUGGGGUCUGGGGAUCGGGGUGAGUGGGAUGAGUGGGACUGCUCCUCCAGCCCAGAGCUUUCCAGCUCUACUCAGGUGGGACCUGGCCAAUGCCCAGCACCCCUCUGUUGGAUCCAACACACAGAGAUGCCCUUGGCUGUGCUCUGAUGAGUGGCGAGGAGCUGAAGCCAGGCUGGUUCAAGGUGGAAAUGCAGCAUUUUAUUUAUUUGUUUGUUUGUUUUUAGCAGAAGCUGUGAUUUUAAAUAAGGAUCUAAAUCUGCAUUGGGUAUCUUUCUAAAAGAUGACCUCCUGCAACUGUGGGGCAGAUACAGAAACAUUGUGACCUUAAGAAUUUAUUUCUAUCAAAUAUGAACUUCAUUUCCAUCGUUUCCCACUGUCCAGAGAUGUCAGAGAUCAGUUUAAUUGCAUAGACUGUCAAGACUCCCUGGGAAUUAUGUGCAGUUUUUUUCCUAUCUCUCUCAGACAGGAUCCAUCUUCACUUUGAAUAAUUACUGCCAGAGCUGAAUCAGAAACUGCCAAAGCUGCAGGAAAGAAUCCAACAUUUUUCUACACAGAUUCAAAGCAAAUAUGAAUUCCCUUCCCUUUCCUUUCCCUUCCCUUCUACCACAACCCCUUUCACUUCAUUCCCUUUGAAUAACUUACCAUGAAUGAAUUUAGUGAGGGAAUGGUACACAAGAAAUCUUUGGGCAAAUCCUCAGCUGUUUCAAUUGGCUGCAGUAAAGCUACACUCUUUUACACCCUGAAGAUGCACCACAGUGGAUGUGAAAAGCUCUCUUGGAGAUUAUUCACCUCGUAUGAAUGCAACUGUUCCCAUCAGCUAUCUCAGCUUAAAGAUUGUGGUUAUUGAGUCAGGGGACAGAACAAUGGUAUGGGAUUGAGCCCAAGCAAUUAACUCUUCCCUCAACUUUAUUACUGAAUCCUGAACUGGCAUCCCACAGAGAACCUGUAACAAUCUUAUUCAGAUCAAAGCCCCCACUUUUUAAAUAAUGAGAAGUUUGGAAAACAAAAAUCAAAGGGCAGCCUAUGAUUCACACACAGAAAUUUUAUAAAAACCACAAAAUCAAAAGGCCCUUAAUUGAGGCCUUUCAACCCAACCAAGUAUUCAUUCCAAGAUAAUUACUGCCAUAAAACCCUCUGCCACAGAGACACUGGACUAGAAAACCUUUGAAUUGCACACGGAACUUAAGGAAAGAGCUGGCUGGGAUGUAAUCCUGCUGAGACCUGAAAAGGAGAAGUUCUGGGGGGGAACGAAGCCUUCAGUGCAAGUCAUUCCUCUGUAAAAACAUGUCAUCAUUGAGAAGGCUCUACAACAAGAAAAGACUGGGGAAGAUCUGCCAGGAGCAAACCAGGUACUCUUAUAAAUAAGGAACAAAUAGCACUGUACAUCACAUGGGUUAAAUGCCAUGAGUAGCAUCAAAUGGUAUCUUGAAGAACAGAUGAGUCAACAGCCAGAAAUGCAACUGAUUAAAACCAAAAUUAAACUGGCUCUAACUGAUGGUGCAUGAAGGGCUACAAUCAAAAAAAGAAAAGAAAAAGGGAAAGUCUUCUGCUGUUGGGAUUCCUCUGUUCCUUCAAGCUACAAUAGGUUCUGAGCUACACAACGUUAAAAUCGUCACUGUCCUUUUGGGCACCUCACCAAAGAUGAGGGCAACUCUUGGAGCAAUGCAGUGCUCAGUCCCUGCCAUAGACCUGCCUCACAAACAGUGGUUUGGUUUUGUGGUUGUUGGCCAAUAUCUGAAAGGAUAGAAUUUCCAGACUGGAAGGGAUCCACCAGCACCGGAGUCCAACUCCUGCUCACUCUCAAGGUACUGAUUAAGAAGCUUUAGACUGACAAAUAAGUACACUUAGGAAGUUCUCCAAAUAGAUGACUGAUUAUAAUUGCUAAGGACUUUCAGAUGAAAUGGCUUUAACAUAACUUUUACUGAAAAUUUGGUAUGACAGAGGGCUAUACUCAACAGGAACUAUUUCUGUCAAUCUAGAUGUAUUUCACCAUGGUUGCAUGGCUGAUCAAAUAUCUCUACAAACAAAUGCAAUUGUUGAAAUUUUGAAAUGAAACAAUUAUGGUCCUCUUAUUUUCUGAUCAAUUCAGAUAUAUGAAGACAAAUACGUAGUUAGCAUACAAAGAGGCAUCCCUCCAAACAUUACAUUUGGUUCCUAUGAAAAUUUUCUUGCUGUAGUAAGGCCAAAAAUACAUACAAUCUAUAAUAUAUAUAUUUGCUUUUGCUUUUUCUUCCCUCCUUUGUGAUAUUACUAUCAGUAUUUUGCAUAUUAUGCUAGGUUAUAUGGGUAGGUCCUGAACUGAUGCGGCACAGCCCUGUGCCCCAGCUUUGCUGCUGGAUCAAAACAGAGGCUCAGAGAAGUUCAUUCCUUUAGACCUUUUUAUACGAUGAAAGCUAAGAAAAGACUGCAUCAGUGAACCCAGGACAGCUUUAGGAAAGAGCUCCCCUGACAUCACCAGUUUACAUCAUCUUUGUUUAAGCAAGCAAUUUAUUAUUCUCCUGGGGUGCAACUUCUGUCAGUCUGAGCUGGCUUCAGACUAGAUGUGCAAGUGAGAGAUUCAGCAAUACUCAUUGCUCAGAGCAUCUCACCGCCUGCUCAAGGUCAUAGGCAAACAAGUACAAAGGGAGCACCACUGUAGAAAGAUGAGGCAAAACAGCCUUCAGAAGCUGAACAACCUGUUCCAGUGGUUGUGAGAUUGAUUUCAACCUGAGACUCAUCGUGGGCUUUCUCACAGCUUUCUACCAUGUUAGCUGAAGAAUUUUAUCUAGCGAAUGAGAUGCUUUUUGUUAAGUGCAAACUCCCCCAUAGCCACCGACCACUGAGAGUUCCAACAGGACACACACGUGGUCCAGAGAAACCAUGUCCUUCGCUGAGCUGGCUCUCAGAACCACUACAGACUCUCAACACUGGUAAUAAGUAUUAGAUGCUUCUACCAAAAGAAUACAUCUG